AUUGAACGCUUGCGGCAGGCCUAACACAUGCAAGUCGAGCGGAGCGGCGGACGGGUGAGUAAUGCCUAGGAAUCUGCCUGGUAGUGGGGGAUAACGACCGGAAAAGGGCGCUAAUACCGCAUACUAUCAGAUGAGCCUAGGUCGGAUUAGCUGGUUGGUGGGGUAAGGGCCUACCAAGGAGACGAGCGGUAACUGGUCUGAGAGGAUGAUCAGUCACACUGGAACUGAGACACGGUCCAGACCCCUCCGGGAGGCAGCAGUGGGGAAUAUUGCACAAUGGGCGCAAGCCUGAUGCAGCCAUGCCGCGUGUGUGAAGAAGGCCUUCGGGUUGUAAAGCACUUUCAGCGGGGAGGCGUUACCCGCAGAAGAAGCACCGGCUAACUACGUGCCAGCAGCCGCGGUAAUUC
rnacentral:rRNA from 1 species